AGUCGUAACAAGGUUUCCGUAGGUGAACCUGCGGAAGGAUCAUUACCUAGAGUUGUAGGCUUUGCCUGCUAUCUCUUACCCAUGUCUUUUGAGUACUUACGUUUCCUCGGCGGGUCCGCCCGCCGAUUGGACAAUUUAAACCAUUUGCAGUUGCAAUCAGCGUCUGAAAAACUUUAAUAGUUACAACUUUCAACAACGGAUCUCUUGGUUCUGGCAUCGAUGAAGAACGCAGCGAAAUGCGAUAAGUAGUGUGAAUUGCAGAAUUCAGUGAAUCAUCGAAUCUUUGAACGCACAUUGCGCCCCUUGGUAUUCCAUGGGGCAUGCCUGUUCGAGCGUCAUUUGUACCUUCAAGCUUUGCUUGGUGUUGGGUGUUUGUCUCGCCUUUGCGUGUAGACUCGCCUUAAAACAAUUGGCAGCCGGCGUAUUGAUUUCGGAGCGCAGUACAUCUCGCGCUUUGCACUCAUAACGACGACGUCCAAAAGUACAUUUUUACACUCUUGACCUCGGAUCAGGUAGGGAUACCCGCUGAACUUAAGCAUAUCAAUAAAAGUCG
rnacentral:rRNA from 1 species